GUGCUUGCUCCGGCAGCACAUAUACUAAAAUGGGACUUAGAAGAUUAGCAUGGCCCAUGCACAAUGAUGACAUAAAUUUGUGAAGAGUUCCAUGUUUUU
ensembl:snRNA U6 U6 spliceosomal RNA